GAGAUUAGCCCUCCCCCCCCCCCCCCAAUUAAAUCAUAAACAUUAAUUCUUAUCACAGUAUCAGUGCUCCAUCUAUAGGCCUAACAAAGGGGUGUUGAUAGACUUUUGAUUGGCUGAGCCACCAUCUAUUUGAAAACAAGCAACUUUGAUUGGCUGGAGACAGGAAGUUAUGUUUUGAAAACAAAGGGGGUUUUCAUCAACUGACUUUGAGCUUUAAGGUAUAAUUGAGUAACAUUAAGACUUAUAAUUCUAGUUUAAAAUGUCUUGAAUAACUUUCAGCAUGAAGUAUUGUGUGGUGAAAACAAUGUGUAUGUACUACAAUGUGUAAAUCAACAAUAAGUUUGUUGCAAAGGAGAUUCAAAGUGGAUGGUUAAAGUGAUAUGGUCUCAUAAUUCAUCAACUGCCUGUUAUCUUGGAAUACUGAAGAACAGUUGUUUUAGGUUAAACUCCCAAGGUGAAAUUUACAUUGAUUGGAAGAUUCUUUGGAUAGAAUAUUCCUGCCAAAAGACAGCAGAAGGGGGACUAUUACUGAUGUAUGGAUUUUGACACCAGAUUUUACCCUGCACGAGCAGUCCAACUUGAGUAGAUCAGGAGUGGGAAAACCGAGCCCUGUCCUUGACCAAGGAAAGUUGGAUUUGUUGAGAGGACCUGAUCUCAAAUGAGAUCAUGCACAAGACGCACCUCGCAAAGGCCAUGAUAGUAUAGUUUUCAGACCUGAUCAGCUGGUGACUGCUCUAUGAAGUGCUGUUCAACCUCCCCUAAGGGGGAGAUUCGAGAGGG